CCUACGGGAGGCAGCAGUGAGGAAUAUUGGACAAUGGAGGCAACUCUGAUCCAGCCAUGCCGCGUGCAGGAAGAAUGCCCUAUGGGUUGUAAACUGCUUUUAUACAGGAAGAAACACCCCGACGUGUCGGGACUUGACGGUACUGUAAGAAUAAGGAUCGGCUAACUCCGUGCCAGCAGCCGCGGUAAU
rnacentral:rRNA from 1 species